AGCAUCACAGAGCCCCUUUGUGAUCACCAAGACUGUUUUAGGUGCAACUGCCUAUCAUCACAAGAGGAAAAGGAGAGAAAAUACACUGGAUAUAUCAGGCCAAAUUCUGCUCUUAAUUACACAGCAAGGAAGCCUCUGGAGAAGUGUGCCAUUAGGAGAUAGAAGGAUUUCUUCCAACAGCGAAGGCCAUUAAACAGCAACAAGACUCUAGCAAGUGUGACUGAACCGAUGCCUGGUUGCUGGGACCAAAGGCACACUUUGGCUGCUGGAUAUGGAGGAACCUGGGGAGCAAACAGAGGAUGUGAUGCCUGGCCACCAGACUGAAGAGCCAAAACCUGCAGUGAUGGAGCAUCCCUUGCCGAGAGCGCCCUGGACUGGGAUUCAAGAGAACUUGGCUCCAUUUCUAGCUCUGCCAGAGCAUCCAGCUGUGAGGGUGAGCAAGUCACUUUGGAUGACAUCCUGGUCUCAUUGAAGUCAAUGGGAGUUUUGGGUCCAUGAUUUAACCCUUAAACUUUGGAUGUGAGUUCCCUACAAAAUAGAGGAGGAGACUGCCAGUGUCUAAGGUAGCCUUUCUGCAUAGGAGCAGGGCUACUCCAAAACCACAUAAGAAGAUGCACCUUCCCCCUUCACUGAACAGAACACAUUCCUGGACCAACACACACCAGGAAUGCAAGAAAGAAUCCAAGCCAUCAACUGCAAUUCAGACCUAGGGCCAUCAUGGUUGGUGGAAAAUGCCAGGGAGCAUCAUGCUCUGCAGACUGCAGUUGGCUUUUUGUUUUAGUGUUUGCAAUUUUUAUAUAUAAAUAUAAAACAUUCUCCAUUUUGAUUGGUAGGCUUAGUACCAUAGUAGAAUUUUUUCAACAUCAAAAUUUAUUUGAGGCAAAUAAGAUUUUUGGAGGAAAAAUAAAUUGUUACGAAUUGCAGUGGAUUUUUCUUAAAGUGAACAAAUGCUACUGAAAUAUCUGUUUUUGUUUUUACCAUAAAUACAUGCAAGUACAUAAA